CGUUAUGGAUUUUAACAUUUUUUUAUAUGAUGAAAAUUGGUUCCUUUACAUUCGCAGUUUCCACGGUAGGAGUACGCCUACGAACCCAUCGUUAGUACUCUUCAGUGACCGCUCUUUAUUGAGACCUUCCUAGGAUGUCUGAUCUUUUUAUAUGUUAUUAUCCAUU